AUUGAACGCUGGCGGCAUGCUUUACACAUGCAAGUCGAACGGUAACAGGCCGCAAGGUGCUGACGAGUGGCGAACGGGUGAGUAGUGCAUCGGAACGUGCCCAGUCGUGGGGGAUAACGCAGCGAACGCUGUGCUAAUACCGCAUACGAUCUAUGGAUGAAAGCGGGGGACCGUAAGGCCUCGCGCGAUUGGAGCGGCCGAUGUCAGAUUAGGUAGUGGGUGGGGUAAGGGCCUACCAAGCCGACGAUCUGUAGCUGGUCUGAGAGGACGACCAGCCACACUGGGACCGAGACACGGCCCAGACUCCUACGGGAGGCAGCAGUGGGGAAUUUUGGACAAUGGGCGCAAGCCUGAUCCAGCAAUGCCGCGUGCAGGAAGAAGGCCUUCGGGUUGUAAACUGCUUUUGUACGGAACGAAACGGUCUGGGUUAAUACCCUGGGCUAAUGACGGUACCGUAAGAAUAAGCACCGGCUAACUACGUGCCAGCAGCCGCCGUAA
rnacentral:rRNA from 1 species